rnacentral:rRNA from 1 species
GACGAACCGUGCGAACGUUGUUCGGAAUCACUGGGCUUAAAGGGCGCGUAGGCGGCCUGUUAAGUCGAACGUGAAAUCCCCGGGCUCAACCCGGGAACUGCGUCCGAUACUGGCAGGCUUGAAUCCGGGAGAGGGAUGCGGAAUUCCAGGUGUAGCGGUGAAAUGCGUAGAUAUCUGGAGGAACACCGGUGGCGAAGGCGGCAUCCUGGACCGGCAUUGACGCUGAGGCGCGAAAGCCAGGGGAGCAAACGGG